UUACAGAAUGGCGGAACAGUUGACAGAAAAAAACAGGGAUAAACAUCUACAUUUACGCCAUCUGAUUAAUCAUGGAAGGCUUAUCCUUUUUGCCGAAGGAGUACUAUAUAUAUGAAGGGUUUUGAUGAUCGUAAGGAAGCAUGUAUUGGCUGGCUUGAAACCAUAACACUUACGCCUUUGCAUCGUUUUGUCUAGAGUGACAUCUACAGCUUCUUUUGCACAGAGGUCUCGUGAUUUCCUUCAACUCACUUGGCUAGACGGAAUAAGAGGAAGUUAGAAAUGUCUGUACGUACUGUGGAACUUCAUUAGGAACACUGCAAUACAAGUGAGGAGCGUGGGAUCAACCUCUAGUUUUCGCAACUCAGUCAUUAAGAUGUUAUGGUCAAUUAGAUCAAAGCCUUUCCAGAAGUCAGCAAAGAAGACCUGGGCUCCUAGAUCAGCACAAUCUACUGCCUCAUAAAUGGCUUGUAACAUGAAUAGAAGAGCAUCUGUUGUCGAGUGGCCUCUACAUGCAAACUUUCGCUGGUCGAUUUUUCCAUGUAAUUAUGGCAGUAGUUUAUUGCAUGUGAAUCCCUCCAUGACUUUUGCCAGUGUACAAGUGAGCGCUAUUGGUUGGAGAUCACUCUUUAUUUCUCUUGGUGGGUUUACCUUCAGGAUUGGGGUGACAAUGAAAGAUUUUAGAAGUGAUGGGAUGUAUCCUUCCUUAAGAGACUGGUUGUUUCGAAUGACAGGAGCUAACUUGUGCGCAAAGUCCUUAAGCUGUUUAUUUGGGAUAUUGUCGGGUCCUACAGCUUUUGCAACAUUAAGCGACAACAGGGAUCGGAACACUUCCUCGUUGGAGACAAAAAGUUCCUGUGGUACCAGGCUUGGGGGAGAGUCACCGGUCAAAGGUGUAAAAUGGUCUGUAAGACUUACAAAAAAGUCGUUAAUCUUAUUUGCAAGUAAUUUGGGAUUCAUAGUAUCCCCAAGAAACAGAUGGUACCACUCCUGCUGAAUGUCCUGGCCUGUGAGUGACUUUAUUUGCCUCCACCAGUUACUGAAAUAAGUGGAUUCCUCUUGAGCAACUUUAUCGUGAUAGUAGUGAUUUUUAGCUUUUUUGACCUCACCCUGGACCUUGUUCCUCCAAAAUGUGUAAUUCUAAGAGUCCUUUCCAUGUCUGAGAAAUGCAGAUUGUCUUUUGCGAAUGCAAGAUUUCAGUUUUUUAGAAAUCCAGGGACAGUCAGUUGGGUGUUUCUUAACUAUUUUUCGUGGAAGGAAGGAAUCAAUAGCAGAAGUAAGUUCCAUCAUCAACAGCCUGAACUUGUCUUCACAAGACUCAGUAUUAAGAAUGGAGUACCAGUCCUUCUUGGUCAUCCAGCACCCCAGUGCACACCAUGCACUGUCUUGCAUAUCACGUGACUAUUUUCUUAAUGACCAGUGUUCAGAUGAUAUCAUUGGUCUGGCCAAGAUGAUAUAAUGAUCAGAUGAUGUGACUUUGGGCAAUUGUGAUACACUGAACAACUUUGGUCUAUUUGUAAAAAGCCAGUCCAGCAUGCCUGAGUCUCUAGUUUUGAAAGUUACAAGCUGCUUAAGAUGGUUGGCUUGAGAGAUAUCUUUUGACUUUAAUCCUGUUGUGUGAUGAUUGAAGUUGCCGGUAAUUAUAACCAGGGCAUUUGGCUGGUCAGAUAAUAGCAUGUCAAGAUUUCUUUGAAUGUGUUGCCGCAAAGUCACAUUCUCAGCUUCACGGUUACUAGUAGAGUGGUAUAUCACACCUAACACAAUUGAUGUAAUUUGUCUUGGUAGACAAUGCGGCCUCAUUGAUAUCCAAAUUGAUUUGACUUCAUCUUGAUUACAAGAUUCUAGGAGUUUACAUGGUACUUUGUGAUCUAAAUAAAUACACACUCCUCCUUCU
rnacentral:lncRNA from 1 species